rfam:Enterobius vermicularis genome assembly, scaffold: EVEC_scaffold0000218
GGUCCCGUGGUGUAGCGGUUAGCACUCAGGACUUUUGAAUCCUGCGACGGGAGUUCAAAUCUCCCCGGGACCU